UUAACACCAGAGAUAUAAAUAUAAGUAUGUAGGCAUCAUAUACAACUGUGGGACUAGAUGAAAUCACUUAGGGAGAGAAGGUAAAUGAAGAUGAAACAGUACAGGAUGGAUCCUGGGAGGACUCCAAUAUUCAGAGAGGGAAUAAGAAAGAAGGAGUCAUUGAGAAAAGACUGAGAAUGAGUAACCGAAAAGUGGCUGUCAGACAGUGUCAUCAGACGAGAAUGAGGGAUUGCAGAGAGCAUGUAGGAUAUUUUAGUCUUUGCAAUCACAUCACAUCUGGAGCCAUCUCAGUCACCUGCUUGAAAAGUCAGCUUUGGUCCUUGUCCUACUACACUACCAUCAUUAUCAUUCAAGCCUACCUGACAUUUUCUUUAUUAUGGUACAUUCAUUGAGUGCCAGUGGGAUGCUACAUCCAAGGAAGCUGCUAA